GAUGAACGCUGGCGGCGUGCCUAAUACAUGCAAGUCGAGCGAACAGACGAGGAGCUUGCUCCUUUGACGUUAGCGGCGGACGGGUGAGUAACACGUGGAUAACCUACCUAUAAGACUGGGAUAACUUCGGGAAACCGGAGCUAAUACCGGAUAACAUGUUGAACCGCAUGGUUCAACAGUGAAAGACGGUCUUGCUGUCACUUAUAUAUGGAUCCGCGCCGCAUUAGCUAGUUGGUAAGGUAACGGCUUACCAAGGCAACGAUGCGUAGCCGACCUGAGAGGGUGAUCGGCCACACUGGAACUGAGACACGGUCCAGACUCCUACGGGAGGCAGCAGUAGGGAAUCUUCCGCAAUGGGCGAAAGCCUGACGGAGCAACGCCGCGUGAGUGAAGAAGGUCUUCGGAUCGUAAAACUCUGUUAUUAGGGAAGAACAAAUGUGUAAGUAACUAUGCACGUCUUGACGGUACCUAAUCAGAAAGCCACGGCUAACUACGUG
rnacentral:rRNA from 1 species